rnacentral:lncRNA from 1 species
UGUAUUGCUAGAUAGGGUAUUGCUGCUUGAGUGGCUUGAACAGCUUUUAUCUCCAAUAUGUGAAAGUUUGUUUGGCGACUCCUUGCCACUGCCAUCUUUUUGUAAAGCCCGGUCUUUGUAGGAGCUGAGGAUUUUGGUCGAUGGUGCAUGCCACUUGGUUUCAGAAUGCCUAGUUCCUUCCAAAGUUUCAUCUCGUUCUCUGCCUCCUUCAAUCUCCAGUGAGCCUGAACCUUGGUGUUCAUGAAGCAAAGGGGAUUGGCACCCAUCAUAUCCCACUUGCUGUCU